rnacentral:rRNA from 1 species
AAAAAUAGAUGAGCCUAUAUUAGAUUAGCUAGUUGGUGGAGUAAUAGCCUACCAAGGCAAUGAUCUAUAGCUGAUCUGAGAGGAUGAUCAGCCACACUGGAACUGAGAUACGGUCCAGACUCCUACGGGAGGCAGCAGUGGGGAAUAUUGGACAAUGGGCGAAAGCCUGAUCCAGCUAUGCCGCAUGAGUGAAGAAGGCCUUUGGGUUGUAAAGCUCUUUUAGUGAGGAAGAUAAUGACGGUACUCACAGAAGAAGUCCUGGCUAACUCCGUGCCAGCAGCCGCGGUAAUACGGAGAGGGCUAGCGUUAUUCGGAAUUAUUGGGCGUAAAGGGCGCGUAGGCUGAUUAAUAAGUUAAAAGUGAAAUCCCGAGGCUUAACCUUGGAAUUGCUUUUAAAACUAUUAAUCUAGAGAUUGAAAGAGGAUAGAGGAAUUCCUGAUGUAGAGGUAAAAUUCGUAAAUAUUAGGAGGAACACCAGUGGCGAAGGCGUCUAUCUGGUUCAAAUCUGACGCUGAGGCGCGAAGGCGUGGGGAGCAAACAGGAUUAGAUACCCUGGUAGUCCACGCUAUAAACGAUGAAUGUUAAAUAUGGGAAGUUU